rnacentral:rRNA from 1 species
GGUUCCACCCGUUCCCAUUCCGAACACGGAAGUUAAGCUCCUCAGCGCCGAUGGUACUGCACGGGAGACCGUGUGGGAGAGUAGGUCGCCGCCGAAU